ACUCAAAUGAAUAGACGGGGGCCCGCACAAGCGGCGGAGCAUGUGGAUUAAUUCGAUGCAACGCGAAGAACCUUACCUGGGUUUGACAUGCACUAGACAGCCGUAGAGAUACGGUUUCCCUUGUGGUUGGUGUACAGGUGGUGCAUGGCUGUCGUCAGCUCGUGUCGUGAGAUGUUGGGUUAAGUCCCGCAACGAGCGCAACCCUUACCCCAUGUUGCCAGCGGGUUAUGCCGGGGACUCGUGGGGGACUGCCGGGGUCAACUCGGAGGAAGGUGGGGAUGACGUCAAGUCAUCAUGCCCCUUAUGCCCAGGGCUUCACACAUGCUACAAUGGCUGGUACAGAGGGUUGCGAUACUGUGAGGUGGAGCGAAUCCCUUAAAGCCGGUCUCAGUUCGGAUCGGGGUCUGCAACUCGACCCCGUGAAGUCGGAGUCGCUAGUAAUCGCAGAUCAGCAUUGCUGCGGUGAAUACGUUCCCGGGCCUUGUACACACCGCCCGU
rnacentral:rRNA from 1 species